rnacentral:rRNA from 1 species
UACCGGAUAGGACGAAAGUUUUAAAAGGUGCUUCUGGCACCGCUGAUGGAUGAGCCUGCGGCGCAUUAGCUAGUUGGUAGGGUAAAGGCCUACCAAGGCGACGAUGCGUAGCCGACCUGAGAGGGUGAACGGCCACACUGGGACUGAGACACGGCCCAGACUCCUACGGGAGGCAGCAGUAGGGAAUCUUCGGCAAUGGGCGAAAGCCUGACCGAGCAACGCCGCGUGAAUGAUGAAGGCCUUCGGGUUGUAAAAUUCUGUUAUAAGGGAAGAACGACUUUAGUAGGAAAUGGCUAGAGUGUGACGGUACCUUAUGAGAAUGCCACGGCUAACUACGUG